UCCCUACGGGCGGCUGCAGUCGAGAAUCUUCGGCAAUGGGCGCAAGCCCGACCGAGCGACGUCGCGUGGAGGACGAAGGCCUUCGGGUUGUAAACUCCUGUCGAGGGGGAACAAGGGCCGGCGGAGAGCCGGACUUGAGUGAUCCCUGGAGGAAGCACGGGCUAAGUUCGUGCCAGCAGCCGCGGUAAGACGAACCGUGCGAACGUUAUUCGGAUUCACUGGGCUUAAAGCGCGUGUAGGCGGACAUGCACGUCCGAGGCUGAAAGCCCCCGGCUCAACCGGGGAACGGGCCCGGAUACGGCACGUCUGGAGGGGCAUAGGGGGAGCUGGAACUUCCGGUGGAGCGGUGAAAUGCGUUGAGAUCGGAAGGAACGCCCGUGGCGAAAGCGAGCUCCUGGAUGCCUUCUGACGCUGAGACGCGAAAGCCAGGGGAGCGAACGGGAUUAGAUACCCCGGUAGUCACG
rnacentral:rRNA from 1 species